AAGAAAAAGAAGAAAAAGAAAGCGGAAGAAUAAGUGUUAUUGCAAGUUCCCUCCUGGGUCUGCAAAACCCCGUUUUUCUUUUUUUU
rnacentral:ribozyme from 1 species